AACCGCAUGGUUCAAAAGUGAAAGACGGUCUUGCUGUCACUUAUAGAUGGAUCCGCGCUGCAUUAGCUAGUUGGUAAGGUAACGGCUUACCAAGGCAACGAUGCAUAGCCGACCUGAGAGGGUGAUCGGCCACACUGGAACUGAGACACGGUCCAGACUCCUACGGGAGGCAGCAGUAGGGAAUCUUCCGCAAUGGGCGAAAGCCUGACGGAGCAACGCCGCGUGAGUGAUGAAGGUCUUCGGAUCGUAAAACUCUGUUAUUAGGGAAGAACAUAUGUGUAAGUAACUGUGCACAUCUUGACGGUACCUAAUCAGAAAGCCACGGCUAACUACGUGCCAGCAGCCGCGGUAAUACGUAGGUGGCAAGCGUUAUCCGGAAUUAUUGGGCGUAAAGCGCGCGUAGGCGGUUUUUUAAGUCUGAUGUGAAAGCCCACGGCUCAACCG
rnacentral:rRNA from 1 species